GAUGAACGCUGGCGGCGUGCCUAACACAUGCAAGUCGAGCGAUUCUCUUCGGAGGAGAGCGGCGGACGGGUGAGUAACGCGUGGGUAACCUGCCCUGUACACACGGAUAACAUACCGAAAGGUAUGCUAAUACGAGAUAAUAUACUUUUAUCGCAUGGUAGAAGUAUCAAAGCUUUUGCGGUACAGGAUGGACCCGCGUCUGAUUAGCUAGUUGGUAAGGUAACGGCUUACCAAGGCAACGAUCAGUAGCCGACCUGAGAGGGUGGUCGGCCACAUUGGAACUGAGACACGGUCCAAACUCCUACGGGAGGCAGCAGUGGGGAAUAUUGCACAAUGGGCGAAAGCCUGAUGCAGCAACGCCGCGUGAGCGAUGAAGGCCUUCGGGUCGUAAAGCUCUGUCCUCAAGGAAGAUAAUGACGGUACUUGAGGAGGAAGCCCCGGCUAACUACGUGCCAGCAGCCGCCGUAA
rnacentral:rRNA from 1 species